rnacentral:rRNA from 1 species
CCUACGGGAGGCAGCAGUGGGGAAUAUUGGGCAAUGGGCGCAAGCCUGACCCAGCAAAGCCGCGUGAAGGAAGAAGGCUCUCGGGUUGUAAACUUCUUUUCUGAGGGACGAAGAAAGUUACGGUACCUCAGGUAUAAGCCACGGCUAACUACGUGCCAGCAGCCGCGGUAAUACGUGGGUGGGAAGCGUUAUCCGGAUUUAUUGGGUGUAAAGGGCGUGUUGGGGGGAAAGCAAGUCAGAUGUGAAAACUCAGGGCUCAACCCUGAGCCUGCAUUUGAAACUGUUUUUCUUGAGUGCUGGAGAGGCAAGCGGAAUUCCGGGUGUAGCGGUGAAAUGCGUAGAUAUAAGGAGGAACACCGGUGGCGAAGGCAGAUUGCUGGACAGUAACUGACGCUGAGGCGCGAAAGCGUGGGGAGCAAACAGGAUUAGAUACCCUAGUAGUC